rnacentral:rRNA from 1 species
CCUACGGGAGGCAGCAGUGGGGAAUAUUGCACAAUGGGCGAAAGCCUGAUGCAGCGACGCCGCGUGAGGGAUGACGGCCUUCGGGUUGUAAACCUCUUUCAGCAGGGAAAGAAGCGAAAGUGACGGUACCUGCAGAAGAAGCGCCGGCUAACUACGUGCCAGCAGCCGCGGUAAUACGUAGGGCGCAAGCGUUGUCCGGAAUUAUUGGGCGUAAAGAGCUCGUAGGCGGCUUGUCACGUCGGGUGUGAAAGCCCGGGGCUUAACCCCGGGUCUGCAUUCGAUACGGGCUAGCUAGAGUGUGGUAGGGGAGAUCGGAAUUCCUGGUGUAGCGGUGAAAUGCGCAGAUAUCAGGAGGAACACCGGUGGCGAAGGCGGAUCUCUGGGCCAUUACUGACGCUGAGGAGCGAAAGCGUGGGGAGCGAACAGGAUUAGAUACCCUGGUAGUCCACGCCGUAAACGGUGGGAACUAGGUGUUGGCGACAUUCCACGUCGUCGGUGCCGCAGCUAACGCAUAAGUUCCCGCCUGGGGAGUACGGCCGCAGGCUAAAACGUCAAAGGAAUUGACGG